GUGGGAUACGGGGACAUGCACCCGGUGACCAUAGGGGGUAAGAUCGUGGGCUCCCUGUGUGCAAUAGCUGGCGUGCUGACCAUAGCCUUGCCUGUACCUGUCAUUGUCUCCAAC